UACAGAGGGGGCAAGCGUUGUUCGGAAUUACUGGGCGUAAAGGGCGCGUAGGCGGCCUUCUAAGUCGAACGUGAAAUCCCCGGGCUCGAACCCGGGAACUGCGUCCGAUACUGGAAGGCUAGAAUCCGGGAGAGGGAUGCGGAAUUCCAGGUGUAGCGGUGAAAUGCGUAGAUAUCUGGAGGAACACCGGUGGCGAAGGCG
rnacentral:rRNA from 1 species